GACAGAGGUGCCGAGCGUUAGGCGGAAUCACUGGGCUUAAAGCGUGUGUAGGCGGAUCUGUAAGUACCUUGUGAAAAUCCCACGGCUCAACCGUGGAACUGCUUGGUAUACUGCGGGUCUUGAGCCACCUAGGGGCAAGUGGAACAAACGGUGGAGCGGUGAAAUGCGUAGAUAUCGUUUGGAACGCCAAUGGUGAAAACAACUUGCUGGGGGUGUGCUGACGCUGAGACACGAAAGCCAGGGGAGCAAACGGG
rnacentral:rRNA from 1 species